GAGUACGGAGAGGGUAGUGAAUUCCUGGUGUAGCGGUGGAAUGCGUAAAUAUCAGGAGGAACACCAGUGGCGAAGGCUGCUUACCUGGAACGUCACUGACGCUGAGGCGCGAAAGCUAGGGGAGCGAACGGGAUUAGAUACCCCGGUAGUCCUAGCUGUAAACGAUGGACACUAGGUGUUGGAGGAUCGACCCCUUCAGUGCUGUUCUGUUAACGCGUUAAGUGUCUCGCCUGGGGAGUACGGCCGCAAGGCUAAAACUCAAAGGAAUUGACGGGGGCCCGCACAAGCGGUGGAGCAUGUUGGUUAAUUGGAUGAUACGCCAAGAACCUUACCAGGGCUUGACAUGUCGCUGACGACCUGGGAAACCAGGUGUUCCGCUUCGGCGGACAGCGUCACAGGUGGUGCAUGGUUGUCGACAGCUCGUGUCGUGAGAUGUUGGGUUAAGUCCCGCAACGAGCGCAACCCUCGCCGAAUGUUGCCAGCGGGUAAAGCCGGGGACUCUUUCGGGACUGCCUGAGUAAUCAGGAGGAAGGAGAGGACGACGUCAAAUCGGCAUGCCCCUUAUGCUCUGGGCUGCAAACGGUGCUACAAUGGUCGGUACAAUGGGAAGCGAAGCCGCGAGGUGUAGCUAAUCCCCAAAACCGAUCUCAGUUCGGAUUGGGAGUCUGCAACUCGACCCCAUAAGGUGGAAUCGAUGUAU
rnacentral:rRNA from 1 species